rnacentral:lncRNA from 1 species
CUACCAGAUCCCGCUGGACCUGCCACCUGGUGGGUUGUGGACGCGGAUUCCGCUCCUUGUGCCUUGGCUGUCAUCGAUCUGUGCUCCUGCAAAGAUAAUGAGGCACAAGCGAUGGCAUGGGUGAAUUCAACCGUCUCAGAUAUAGGGGGUGGGCCUGUACGGUCGGCGUUAAGACGCGGCGUCUCUGAAGAGCCUGAAUAUUUCCGCAGCCGGGCAGGUA